UUUGAGCAUUACAAAGUGGAAUAAAUCCCAAGUGAAUGACAGUGCCUGUUUGUUUCGAUUUCAAGCUGCACUAGUUAGACUGCUCUGGAGCUUCUCCCGGUUCCAAGCUCUCUUUGUCAUAGAGACAACAAACAAUCCCCCCCCCCCAACAUCCAUUUUAUCAUUUUCCUCCAUGGAUAACAAACCUUCCUUUUUCUGGCUUGUGCUUUUAUGGGUAGCAGUCAUACUGCUUCAUAGUUUUACUCCAAACACUCACCUCUCAUUUGUCUCUCUUCUGGAAUGUGUUCUCAUUUCUAGCUAGUCUGAUCACCUCACAGUUGCACACAUGAAAUGACUUUAUUUAAUAGCCACUUAGAUAAUUUGCAUCCUCCCCACAAUGUUUUCAUCUCCCUAUUCCUUUAGCCAGUAGGACCCACAGUGUGAGGUCUGCAUCGGGACCCUUAGGGCUUAUCUUCCUCCAGUGACUGCUCACUGUGAUGAAUUUGACGCUUGAAGCAUUUUUGCUUACUGGAAACAUGCUACCUUUAAGGUGGUGUUGCCUUAAAAUUGUUAUGAUAUCAGCGACUGUUGUGGCAAUGGGGGGGGGCACAAGAAAUAUAACCAGAUGUUGACUAGAUGAUUGCAGGGCACACAUAAGGAGACCAUGACUGCUGUGGCUUCCUGGAAAAACUGUCCGAGAACAUGACAGAUGAUGGAAGACUUCAGAGUGAAUGUUUCCUUUAGCUUGACCUGCUUGUGUCCACUGAUGUCAGUCUUGACACAAGGAAGGACCUGAGCUAAGUUACCAGGACUCACAUGGUGACUCACAAUUGUCCAUUACUUCAGUUAGAAGAGAUUUGAUGCCUUCCUCUGGUCUCUGCAGGCACCAGACUUUCAUACAUGUAUUUGUUCCUACUACACAUACAUACAUGCAGGCA